rnacentral:rRNA from 1 species
UGGGGAAUCUUCCGCAAUGGGCGAAAGCCUGACGGAGCAACGCCGCGUGAGUGAAGACGGCCUUCGGGUUGUAAAACUCUGUGAUUCGGGACGAAAGAUAAGUAGACGAAUAAUCUGCAUAAGUGACGGUACCGAAAAAGCAAGCCACGGCUAACUACGUGCCAGCAGCCGCGGUAAUACGUAAGGGGCGAGCGUUGUCCGGAAUUAUUGGGCGUAAAGAGUGCGUAGGCGGCAAAUUAAGUCAGAUGUGAAAACUAAGGGCUCAACCCAUAGAUUGCAUCUGAAACUGAUAUGCUUGAGUCAAGGAGAGGAAAGUGGAAUUCCUAGUGUAGCGGUGGAAUGCGUAGAUAUUAGGAGGAAUACCGGUGGCGAAGGCGACUUUCUGGACUUGAACUGACGCUGAGGCACGAAAGCGUGGGGAGCAAACAGG